CCUGCUCAACUAGUAGAAUGCUGUCCAAGGGACAUUCUAGAACUUCUGGGGGUAAAGACCUAAGAAGUUGUGCAGUUUCCACCCAGGUCUCCUGGAACACUUUCUCUAGGAGCCCUGGGCCACCAUGUGGGAGGUUGUCUGCCCUGAGACUGCCAUGCCAUGAGAUCUCAGGAACACGCUCCGCUCAGCAGUUCCAGUCAAGCCCACCAGGCUCAAGACAUCAACCUUGUUUCUACGGGCUGUGUAUUUUCAAGGGAGCCAACUCUUUUAUUUCUGCUUACUUCCGUGGCUGGUACCAGUGACUGCUAGGGACAUCAAGACCAGCACUUCCUCUAACCUUCAGCCCUUCCAAAGCAGAUUCUCAAAGGAGGCCAUGCUGGGAAUUCUUGCUGCGGGAACUGAAGCUCGGGACUGUGGCUCGGCUGCCCAGGUGACAGGAAGUGAAGCACAGCUCCGAGGCAACAAAUGGGAAGGCUCCCAGGGACUGCAGGCGCCAUCUAGCAGAGCCCUGGGCUCUCAGCCUGGGCAAGGUGUUCAGAUGGAAAGAGCAUCACUGGUCCAAUCUGUGCCGAUGCUGACUGCUGUCUCACCCAAUAACUGAAACUUCUGCCUGUUCUUCUGCCAUCUCCCCUGUCGAUAAUGGCUGCCAGCUGUCAAGGACUUGCUCUCAACCCCUCUUCCACCUGAAGUUCUGUACCCCCUCCUACCACUUUCCAGAACACAUGAAUAGCAUCUUGCCAGGCAAUGCUGUGAAUCAGCACAAACUGGUCUCAACCGAGUUGAUUAAUAUUAGACUUAUGUAGUGGAAAGGGCUUAUGCCUAGGAGCAAAAUCCUGUUUUUAGUGAGAAAAAAGGACAUAAAAUUGUACAAGGUAUCAUAACCUUAGACUUAAGAAGUUACUUAGAAGAAAUAACAGUGUUUAAUGUAUAUGUGCCUAACAGCAGAGCCUCAAAAUAUGUGAAGCAAAACUGAUGGAAUGUAAGGAAAAAUUGCAAGGAAAUCAAUCCACUAUCAUAGAUACUGACUUCAACACCCCUAUGUCAGAAAUGGACAGAUUCAUGAAGCAAAAAAUCAGUAAGGACAUAGUUGAACUCAAUAGCACCAUUAAUCCAUGGGAUAGAAUAGACAUCUAUGGACUACUUCAUCCAAGUGCAAUGGAAUAUACAUUCUUCUCAAGCUCAUGUGGAACAUUUACCAAGAUAGAACACCUUUUAGGCCAUAAAACAUACUUCAGUGGUUGUAAAAGAAUAGAAAUCAUCCAAUGUCUGCCUUCAGAUCAUGCAGGAAUUAAACUAGAAAUAAGAGUAAAAAGAUAGCUGGAAAAUCCCCAAGACACAUCUGAAUAACACAUGGUUCAAGGAAGAAAUCUCAAGAGAAAUUUUAAAAUAUUUUGAACAAAAUGAAAAUACAGCUUAAACUAUGCAGCAAAAACAGUGCUUAGAGGGAAACUUUUAGGACUUAUAUGUGGAAUCUAAAAAAAAAAAAAUGAUGCAGAUGAACUUAUUUACAAAACAGAAACAGAUUUAUAG